rnacentral:rRNA from 1 species
AGGACGAACGCUGGCGGCGUGCUUAACACAUGCAAGUCACGGGGGUCCCGCAAGGGAUAACCGGCGAACGGGUGCGUAACACGUGAGCGACCUGCCUUUCUGCGGGGGAUAGCCGGCCCAACGGCCGGGUAAUACCGCAUACGCUUCCUUUGGGGCAUCCCGAGGGAAGGAAACCUCCGGGGCGGAGAGAGGGGCUCGCGGCCUAUCAGCUAGUUGGCGAGGUAACGGCUCACCAAGGCGGCGACGGGUAGCU